AUUGAACGCCGGCGGCAGGCCUAACACAUGCAAGUCGAACGAGUGGAGGACGGGUGAGUAAUGUCUGGGAAACUGACUGAUGGAGGGGGAUAACUACAGGAAACGGUAGCUAAUACCGCAUACAAUAAGAUGUGCCCAGAUGGGAUUAGCUAGGUGGUGGGGUAACGGCUCACCAAGGCGACGAUCUCUAGAUGGGCUGAGAGGAUGACCUGCCACCCUGGAGCUGAGACACUGUCCAGACUCCUCCGGGUGGCAGCAGUGGGGUAUAUUGCACAAUUGGCGCAUGCCGGAUGCAGCCAGGCCGCGUGUGUGAAGUAGUCCUUCUGGUUGUAAAGUACUUUCAGCGGGGAGGCGUUACCCGCAGAAGGAACACCGACUAACUCCGUGCCAGCAGCCGCGGUAAUUC
rnacentral:rRNA from 1 species